rnacentral:rRNA from 1 species
UACGGGGGGGGGCAAGCGUUGUUCGGAAUUACUGGGCGUAAAGGGCGCGUAGGCGGCCACCGCAAGUCGGUUGUGAAAUCUCUGGGCUUAACCCAGAAAGGUCAACCGAUACUGCGGGGCUAGAGUGCAGAAGGGGCAACUGGAAUUCUCGGUGUAGCGGUGAAAUGCGUAGAUAUCGAGAGGAACACCUGCGGCGAAGGCGGGUUGCUGGGCUGACACUGACGCUGAAGCGCGAAAGCUAGGGGAGCGAACGGG